rnacentral:lncRNA from 1 species
CAUUUGACCCUAACGUAUUCCAAAUUGCUAAUUUCCUUUUCCUCUGUGCAUCUCUCAGGGCCAAGAAUGCAGGCAUGAAUUUAAGAUGGUGGAGGCUGAAGCUAUGCCUUCACGUUGGAGUUGUGCAUCUGGCUGCUUUUGCCAACUGAAGGAGUGAUUCGUUAUCACUGAUGCUGUAGCUUCUAGCAGGAAGGCGACUUUUUGGCAAAUCGGGCAUCUUCAACCGGGAGAACUUGGCUGAGUACAAAAGGGCUUUUGAAGCGGUGAGUGUAAAUUCAGACUCCUUUUUUUUCUUCCUUCCUUCCUUUCUUCGCCCUCUCUCUUCUCCUGUG